rnacentral:rRNA from 1 species
CCUACGGGAGGCAGCAGUGGGGAAUAUUGGACAAUGGGGGAAACCCUGAUCCAGCGACGCCGCGUGAGUGAAGAAGUAUUUCGGUACGUAAAGCUCUAUCAGCAGGAAAGAAAAUGACGGUACCUGUCUAAGAAGCCCCGGCUAACUACGUGCCAGCACCCGCGGUAAUAUGGAGGGGGCAAGCGGUAUCCGGAUUUACUGGGUGUAAAGGGAGCGUAGACGGGAGCACAAGUCUGGAGUGAAAUGCCGGGGCCCAACCCCCGAACUGCUCUGGAAACUGUGAAGCUUGAGUGCAGGAGAGGUAAGCGGAAUUCCUGGUGUAGCGGUGAAAUGCGUAGAUAUCAGGAGGAACACCGGCGGCGAAGGCGGCUUACUGGACUGUAACUGACGGUGAGGCUCGAAAGCGUGGGGAGCAAACAGGAUUAGAUACCCCGGUAGUC